rnacentral:rRNA from 1 species
AGUGAACGCUGGCGGUAGGCCUAACACAUGCAAGUCGAACGGCAGCACAGUAAGAGCUUGCUCUUACGGGUGGCGAGUGGCGGACGGGUGAGGAAUACAUCGGAAUCUACUUUUUCGUGGGGGAUAACGUAGGGAAACUUACGCUAAUACCGCAUACGACCUACGGGUGAAAGCAGGGGAUCUUCGGACCUUGCGCGAUUGAAUGAGCCGAUGUCGGAUUAGCUAGUUGGCGGGGUAAAGGCCCACCAAGGCGACGAUCCGUAGCUGGUCUGAGAGGAUGAUCAGCCACACUGGAACUGAGACACGGUCCAGACUCCUACGGGAGGCAGCAGUGGGGAAUAUUGGACAAUGGGCGCAAGCCUGAUCCAGCCAUACCGCGUGGGUGAAGAAGGCCUUCGGGUUGUAAAGCCCUUUUGUUGGGAAAGAAAAGCAGCAGGUUAAUACGCCACUGUUCUGACGGUACCCAAAGAAUAAGCACCGGCUAACUUCGUG